GACGAACGCUGGCGGCGUGCUUAACACAUGCCAGUCGAACGGAAAGGCCCUGCUUGCAGGGUACUCGAGUGGCGAACGGGUGAGUAACACGUGGGUGAUCUGCCCUGCACUUCGGGAUAAGCCUGGUAAACUGGGUCUAAUACCGGAUAGGAGCCAUUUUUAGUGUGAUGGUUGGAAAGUUUUUUCGGUGUAGGAUGAGCUCGCGGCCUAUCAGCUUGUUGGUGGGGUAAUGGCCUACCAAGGCGGCGACGGGUAGCCGGCCUGGGAGGGUGGACGGCCACAUUGGGACUGAGAUACGGCCCAGACUCCUACGGGAGGCAGCAGUGGGGAAUAUUGCACAAUGGGCGCAAGCCUGAUGCAGCGACGCCGCGUGGGGGAUGACGGCCUUCGGGUUGUAAACUCCUUUCGCUAGGGACGAAGCUUUUGUGACGGUACCUAGAUAAGAAGCACCGGCUAACUACGUG
rnacentral:rRNA from 1 species